CCCCCCCCCCCCCCUACCCCCCCCCCCCCCCCCCCCCCCCCCCCCCCCCCCCCCCCCCCCCCCCCCCCCCCCCCCCCCCCCCCCCCCCCCCCCCCCCCCCCCCCCCCCCCCCCCCCCCCCCCCCCCCCCCCCCCCACCCCCCCCCCCCCCCCCCCCCCCCCCCCCCCCCCCCCCCCCCCCCCGUGAAUAGUUAGAACCCGUGAAUGUUUGGAACCCCUAUAAAAAUGCUAAAAACAGCCUAUUUUGUUAGUUAAAACUCAAGAAAAACCCACUAAAAAUUUUCCUACAUGGUUUUUUAAUAGUUUUAUCACAAAAAGUGCAUUUUAUGAUGAAAUUCAUCAAAAAAACCAAGAAUUUGUGGAUAUUUAUCAUAGAAAAAUACCACGAAUGCGCGAAUUUUCCGCGAAUAAUGCAGGGAAAGGUUCCCGACAGAAAUCCGCGAAUGUGUGAGUCCGUGAAUCUGGAGAACGCAAAUACGGGGGGUCCACUGUAAUUACAGUAGUAGUAGUAACGUUUAGGAUAACCGAAUAUUAAUUUUUCACUAAAAAUUCAUAAUUUUUUUGGUGGUAAAUAUGUAAGUUUAGAACAGUUCAGUCACACAAAUGAUAAUUAUUUUAUUGUUAGAGUUUUGUGGCCAGCGAUGAAACGUAAACUUUAGGUUAUGUUUUUGGAAAAACAUGAUAUAAGUUUCCAUUUUAGGCUACGUAUUUUGGAAAAAAUUUAUAAUCAGCUUUAUUUAGUUUAAUUUGAAUUUCUAAGGAUACAGUAAAACAGCAUUUGUAAUAUCAUUCCCAAUUUUUCAUUAGGUACCUGUUAUUGGAAAAACUGUCCUAUACAUAGAUGGCUUUGUAAUUUAAGUCACCUUAUACUACCCUAGGCUGGAUUUUGUCCGUUGACUCUGGGGCCAUUAAAGCAAGGUUUUACUUUAUGUAUUAUACUAUCAUAUCAAAAUCACAAUUUUUGAAAAGUAAAUUAUAUUUUUCAUAACUAUACAAACCUGAGGUCCUUUACAUUAAGAAUUGCUUACAGCAAAGCUGGAACACAGCUGUUAAAACUCUCAAAGAAGGUGCUUAGGCUGUGACUACCGUCCGGUAGGUGGGAAGACCCACCUGCCCCGAUGUAAACUUUCCAGUUUGCCUUUCGGCCCAGGUUUGAUUGAGGGGCGACAUUAGGUGGGCCUAAUAUGUAAAGGACCUCUGGUGUGUAGUUAGGAAAAAUACAAUUUACUUUUAAAAAUUGUGAUUUUUUUUCCUACACAUAGAAACCCUCAGUCCUUUACACCUAUUGCUUGAGGAAGGAGCGGGAUUGCUUCUGUGACUCUAACAAGAAAAAUAGGAAGGGAGCUAGGUGCAGGGUUACUGCAUUAGACAAUUCCUAUUCUCAGGAAGAGAAGUAGAAGAACAAGGAAGUAGAGGGCCAGUCGCUCACGAAUUUUUCUCAGCUCUAGAACCACACACCUUUGGUGAGAUGCAACCUGUCCUCUUAAAGAAGCCGGGUAAGAAAACUCAACUUGUUCAGCAGCCACCACAGGUCCAAGGACUUGUGGACAAAGACCCAAAAGUAGAAAUAAAUAAAUGUGGUCCUGAUAAGACCUCAUCUAUCUUCCAGUCCGACAUAUUCUUCAGGAUGCAAGGAAUGAACCAUGGGCAGAUUGUACAGGUGUUGUCAUCACCAGUUGCCGAGUACAUCCUUCAGAAGAUAAGUCUCGCAUAGCCCGAGGGAAGACAUGUCCUUAGACGUGUGUCUCUCUCAGGCAAGCAGUUAUUUGAGAAAAGUCACCAUUAUCCCGUUAAGGAAUGUCGAGCCUUUUUGGAAAGCACCUUAGCAUCCUACAGAAUAAAGUAAUGAUUGAUCUGAUUCAUCAAUUACGAUGUCCAAGGCACACAAAAUCUCAUCUGAUGACCUCUCUCAAGGGCGUGUGCGAAGCAGAAGAAAGGAACCCUUAACGAGAGUCAAAUGCUGUCUAGAGACCUGGGGUCACUGUGAAGGCAACUGCAACUGAGGAGAAACAAUAAUACUUUCUGUGAAAGACUAGGCUGAAAGUGGACCUACGUCUUCACAAUCGACUAAGAGAAACAACUCACAAUCUGACCAGAGGAAAAUUCCCGUUGACGACACCAACCAGCGAAGACUUCUUUGGGGAUUGAGGAAGGGCUGGCAUGACCAUAAGUUCUAGCCAAAUGGUUAGGAAGAACUAAAGGUCUUGACCAAUACCUGAAGGACAAGGCAGAUGCCCUGUCACUCCUGUCUGUUGUUGGGAAAAAGAGCCAGCCCAGAUUAGGACAGUAAUAAGACAGAAUUCCUUCAGGAAUUAUCACAUUUCAAGGAUGUUAACCCUUUCAUAUAGUGAAGGAUCACAGAUCCUGUCAGGAGACUGCCUGGAGACACACCAACUUGGUGUCCUCCAGGUUCGCUGUUUCUCGUUACGAAAGGAAUGUCGUUCGUGGCAAGGAGAACAGAGAGCGCCUGAAGUCCAGAUGAAGCAGACAGACCUAUCUGGAGUCUUUAUAGGACCCCUCCAAGAUAAAAAAGAAUCUCUCCUUGGCUGGAGAAAAGGUAUUCAUCUAGUCAAGAAAUGCCCUCACAAGUAAGGGUGUGCUGUCCUACAAAAACCCGUCUUUCUCAAAGGAGAAGCUGCAGUUCUAUUUCCAAGAUUAAUGUAGCCAAAUUCUGAAGGGGGAAAAAAAAAAUUCUCUCUGGCCACCUUGUACCUACCUCUUUGAUGAACAACUGAGAGGGUCAAGAGAACUGUUAGGGAGAAAGGGCAUUCCUACCUAUCCUACUAUAAGAACCAGCAAGAGGGUUAGAUCAUGGGCAAUCACCAACUUGUGAUAACUGCAGCAUGGGGGAGGGUGCUUAUGCCAUGGUAAAGCACCAACUUGUGGAGAGCAGAAAGUUCACUCGGACAGAGCCAAGCACUCACUUUGGCUGAUCUAAGUGAGUCACACCGAAUCGAGUGAGCUGAGCAGAUCACACUGACACAACUAUGGGCAGCACUCAUCUGCUAAGAACUAUCGAUUUCCUCCCUUAUUUACUAGUCUCCUUUGAGGCUGAAGCCCCUCAAGAAGAAAGUUCAGAGAGGGAUUCUGUCUGCUAUUGUACAUGCUCAGACCUAAGGUCCCAAGACACAAGGAUGGAACCUGACCACACAUCGACACACUUAUUGGUCUUGGUACUUCAUUCAUUCUGACUAAACCAGUCUGGAGACCGAACCCCCGUACUGAUUGAGAAACGCCCAAGAUUCCAUAAAAUCCCAGACAGUCAGUAAGACACCAGAAAUACUAAUAAAUUCAAGCAUUCGGCAAGACUCCCAAAUCCUGUAAGAACAAUUAUUGGAAGUGAUUGCUCUUUCUCAUUCAGUGCUUGUGAUUACAAACAAUCUGAGUGCUCACUCGAAAUAUAAGGAAUUCAAGCGCUCAGUAAGACAUCCAAAUUUCGUAAGAAUGAUCAUUGGGAGUGCUCCUCUCUCGACUAACAAAGAAAUCGAGGAGGAACAGCAUGGAGCCAGCCUUAGAUGCAGACUUCUAAGAACAGGAUCGAGAAUGUGACUAGAUAGAUUGAGCACUCAAGACCUCCAAAAUGCCGUAGGGAAAUGCAAAUUGGAACCCCCCCUCCCCCUUACAAGGGCAGAAAGGGCUUGUGAGAGAACCAUUGCCUCCUUGGAGAGAGGCCAUCCCCUAGAAGUUACAUAGAACUUUCAAAGGGAACCUACUCCUUGCCUCUCCAGGUGUUCGAUUCCUUGGAAUCAAGACACUAGGUGGGAACUUGCCGAGCACUGGCAAGAACUCAAAAGUGCUAGCAGUAAUGCUAGUAGGAAGAGAAGACACAUAUGAAUGUCUCAGCCUGUGCCCGAACUGGGAUGGUGAAAGAACUCUGUCACCAGCUCAGGGUGCCUGUGAUUUGCUAAACAUGUUCACUUGAAGACUCGCAAACAAGUGCCUGACACAGCACCAGUUUAGAGGUGGAACCUCUAGAACUGAAGACGUGAAUGCAAACUGAAGCUUGCACUCCCACAGCUCCCGCACCACAAAACCCAGGCACAUACUAAUAGGUUCAUGAGCCUGAAGGUUGGGAAUAGCUGAGAGAUUCCACUGCCUCCUUAGGAGGAGGCAGUCCCUUAGGAAUGCAGCAGGAGGACUUGGAGAGAGAGAGAGAGGCCUUCCUCUAAGGGUCUUCUUUGGCCAAAGGGGGCCCUGUGCAGUUUCCCCGAGACCUCCUCAAGCCUCAGAAAGAGAAGGCAAGGGAGGAUGAAGUUUCUUUCAUAGGGCAGCUCAGGCCAGAGGCACAGCACAAGCUGCCCAACGACUGGUCAUCAGGGCAACAGUAGCAAUCUAACGGAAGGGACAGCAGGGGGGGGGGGGGGGGGGGG